UACGGAGGGUGCGAGCGUUGUCCGGAAUCAUUGGGCGUAAAGGGCGCGUAGGUGGCCCGGCAAGCGUGCGGUGAAAGCUCGGGGCUCAACCCCGAGUCGGCCGUGCGAACUGCUGGGCUCGAGCACUGUAGAGGCAGGCGGAAUUCCGGGUGUAGCGGUGGAAUGCGUAGAGAUCCGGAAGAACACCGGUGGCGAAGGCGGCCUGCUGGGCAGUGGCUGACACUGAGGCGCGAAAGCCAGGGGAGCAAACGGG
rnacentral:rRNA from 1 species